rnacentral:rRNA from 1 species
UACGGAGGGGGCUAGCGUUGUUCGGAAUUACUGGGCGUAAAGCGCGCGCAGGCGGUUAUUUAAGUCAGAGGUGAAAGCCCGGGGCUCAACCUGGGAACUGCAUUUGAAACUGGAAGGCUUGAGUCCGAGAGAGGGGAGUGGAAUUCCUUGUGUAGCGGUGAAAUGCGUAGAUAUUUGGAGGAACACCGGUGGCGAAGGCGGCUCACUGGAUUGUGACUGACGCUGAGGUGCGAAAGCGUGGGGAGCAAACAGG